GACGAACGCUGGCGGCGUGCUUAACACAUGCAAGUCGAACGCUGAAGACCUGGCUUUUGUUGGGUUGGAUGAGUGGCGAACGGGUGAGUAACACGUGAGUAACCUGCCCUCUUCUUUGGGAUAACGCCCGGAAACGGGUGCUAAUACUGGAUAUUCACUGAUCUUCGCAUGGGGGUUGGUGGAAAGGUUUGUUCUGGUGGGGGAUGGGCUCGCGGCCUAUCAGCUUGUUGGUGGGGUGAUGGCCUACCAAGGCUUUGACGGGUAGCCGGCCUGAGAUGGUGACCGGUCACUUUGGGACUGAGAUACGGCCCAGACUCCUACGGGAGGCAGCAGUGGGGAAUAUUGCACAAUGGGCGAAAGCCUGAUGCAGCGACGCCGCGUGAGGGAUGGAGGCCUUCGGGUUGUAAACCUCUUUCGCUCAUGGUCAAGCCGCAACUGUGGGUUGUGGUGAGGGUAGUGGGUAAAGAAGCGCCGGCUAACUACGUG
rnacentral:rRNA from 1 species